rnacentral:rRNA from 1 species
CCUACGGGUGACAGCAGUGGGGAAUAUUGCACAAUGGGGGAAACCCUGAUGCAGCAACGCCGCGUGAGUGAUGACGGCCUUCGGGUUGUUAAGCUCUUUCUUCAGGGGCGAUAAUGACGGUACCUGAGGAGGAAUCCACGGCUAACUACGUGCCAGCAGCCGCGGUAAUACGUCGGUGGCGAGCGUUGUCCGGAUUUACUGGGCGUAAAGGGGGCGUAGGCGGACUUUUAAGUGAGAUGUGAAAUACUCGGGCUCAACUUGAGUGCUGCAUUUCAAACUGGAAGUCUAGAGUGCAGGAGAGGAGAAUGGAAUUCCUAGUGUAGCGGUGAAAUGCGUAGAGAUUAGGAAGAACACCAGUGGCGAAGGCGAUUCUCUGGACUGUAACUGACGCUGAGGCUCGAAAGCGUGGGGAGCAAACAGGAUUAGAUACCCGAGUAGUC